rnacentral:lncRNA from 1 species
AAGAAAUCCAAGAAAGAUUUUCAGCUAGGCACAAUGACACAUGCCUAUAAUUCCAACUUCUUAAGAGGCUGAGGCAGGAGGAUUGUAAGUUUGAGGUCAGUUUGAGAAUUUAGUGAGACCCCAUCUCAAAAUAAAACACAAGGGUUGGGGGUGUAGAUCAGUGGUAGAGAAACCCUGGCUUCAAUCUCCACACACACGUGAGCGCAUGCACGCCUGUGAACACAACUUCAACACUGAGACCAUAAAUUGCCAAUUUAAAGGCAUUCGUGGAACAUGGAUAAAGCGAUGACCCUGACCACACGUGGAGUGGAGGGGGAAUCACACACGAUGACCAGUCGUGAGGUUGGACUGAGGCUUCACCACAGCUCUGGGAGGGACGGGACAGGGGAACAACACCAUCAAAUUUGUGAGGGAAAUGUCUUCCAUUCUGUGGUUCUGUUCCCAGCCACACUUGGACUCCUGUGAGGGGCAGACACAGGUAAGACAGGGCAGACACAGGUUUUCACACAGGUAAGAUUUUAAAACAUUCUGCUCUCAUACCCAUUGUCAGGACCCCAUUAAUGCAAGAAGUCUUCCAAAAUGAGGAAUAAACCAGCACAGAGAAAGACAAGGAAGAAAAGAAACUUGGGAGAUGGACAGAAAUCUCCAGAGUAAGGUUGAAGGGAAGCCCCCGGAGUGCUUGGAGCCAUCAAGUCCAGAUAAGAGCAGGCGGCUGAGGCUUGGGAGUGAGGGAGACCUCGGAAUGGAAGCAGACGGCCCCGUGACCCAGGUGAAAAUGCAAUCUCUCCAACGAAGACCGGGAGUAGACGGCCAAGUGGGUACCUCUGUGUUUUGGCUUCUUUGUACAGAACGCCCCACAGGAGGGAAAGAAUGUAAGGACUCAGCUGCCUUUGCCAGGCUCCUGUCGCUCCCGUGACACCUCGGUGAGAAAACCGCGGGUCAGGACCACGGGAAACCAUCCGGCCAGGGAGCAAGGGGUGGACUGCACCCCUCAGCCACUUCAGGGCCCAGGGCCGGGUCCAGACUCUGCCUUGUCCUCCGCGAGGAGCCCAGCAGAGGCUGGAGCUACCGGGAGACUGGCAGAUGCUGAACCAAUUUUAUAAAAAUGGAAAAGGAGGGAGAUUCCAAAACCAACAAACGCGAACCUUGGCAAAACCCUUUGAAACGAUUAUUAAGCAAUUUGUAAGCCCUGAGCAGAGGGAAUGGCCUCACUUCCUCUAACAAUGGGGUCACAAGACUGGAGGGUCCCUGAGGUGUCAGACUCUGGGGUUGUGGGGGACGCGGGG